ACAAGUCUGUAAAGACCAGAGGUCAACCUCAAAUGUUGUUCUUUAGGACACUGUCCACCUUGAUAUUAUAAACGGAGUCUUCCUCUUUUCUCCAGAACUCAUUGAUCAGGCCAGGGUGGCUGGACAGUGAGAGGCCCAGGCAUACGCCUUCCUCCAUGUACUGAACACUGGGAUUGUAUGUGCUCACCACCAGGCCCAGUUUUUAUGUGUCUUCUAGGCAACUCCACUCAGUCUUCAUGUCUGUGCAAUAAGCACUUAGCUCACUGUGCCUUCUCCCCAAUUCCCCAAGGGAAUCUUGACCGUUGUGAAGCCAUGGGAAGAGAGAAUGAAAGACAGUGGGAGAAUUGCAUUGCCUGUGUCCUAAAGGCCCUCUCUUCCACCACAGAUCCCAGACUAGCUCAUAGAAAAGGCAAUUACAGACACAGGAAGUGGACAACCCAUUGUCACAGAGGGCCUGGGGAGACAGUUGGUGAAGUGCCUGCCACACAAGUAAGAAGAACUGAGUCUGAUUCUGACAACCCACAUAAACACCAGGAGUGUGAGGCGGCAGGCUUGCAACCCAAGUGCUGGUGACAGUAUCAGCUGUAACACCCCGCAAUGGAAGUACCAUUCACCAUCCAUGACAACGUGCUAUUUCUGACCUCACCAUGUCCCUGAUAGAGCAAGCAGCUCCAGUGAAGAUACUCCUUGAGUUCAUCCACCGGACAUCUGCAUAUGCUGCUGGCCUCAUUGUGAGCUUUUACUGCUCUGUCCAGCACACUGGGCUAUCUAUGUCUUUUUUGCCCGAUUAUAGGUCUGCUAUUAGUCUAUUCCUGUAACCUGCCAUUGUGUGCUAGCCUGGCACAGAGGAACAGAGGGAUUAGUUUGUCCUGCUAAUUGGCAUCUUUGCUUCUAAAUGUACACAGUCUAUAGCUGACAAUCACUAAUAUGCUUACCUGUUUAUCUGCACUCCCACCCUAGAAAUGUUGUGUUAUCAUCUACCCAACACACGUGCUGUUUGUCAUAUAUUCUUGGAGGAGACAGACUGUGACUUGGCAGGGUUUACUUAUAUAGAACCUCUGGGUGCUCUGAGGUGGCAUUUGUCACAAUCCACAGAUUAAACGGCUUCUGUUAGCUUACUUUUUUUUCACUUACUCUAGUGAAUAUUGGCUUGAUUCGUCUUUAUCUGAAAAAGUCACUCUCCUAUUAGAAAAGAUUCUGGUGAACUAAGAGUUUGAGAUUUGGAGUUCAAAAUAACGAAUAACUAAAUAAAAUGAAUUAAAGGUA